CCAACGGCCCUCUUUAGGGCCACAAUUGUUGAACGAAACGAAUCAU
rfam:Haemonchus contortus, ISE/inbred ISE, WGS project CAVP01000000 data, contig: Hcontortus_46677